CUUUUACGACGGAGCCUAAGAUAUUCUUUGUCUUGUCGGUACUAGAGUCACCGAAAGAGACAUCCUAUUAUAUGCACGUUCACAAGGACAAUGGCGCCAUUGUUCUUCGCGUCUUCAAAGCAGCUACAAGAAGAAACCAAGUGAAUGCUGACCAGUGAGAUGCCAGCCUGCGUGUGAAGAUCCUACAGCAGAAGUGCAUGGCCAGUGACACAAGAACUUGCGAGAGAUGCCAGUCCGCCUGUGAAGAUCCUGCAGCAGGAGUGCAUAGCCAGUGACACAAGACGUGCGAAUGAAAACUAGAUGUGACCAUCCAGAAAAAGCAUAGACAAAAAAAUGCAGUCUUAGUACUGGGAUGUUUGAGAUGGGGUCUAUCUACAUGUCUCUAGCUGUCCCUAUCAGGACAGCAUCUGGUGUGGCCUGCAGAGUUGAUUCCUGUACUUUUUUUUUUUUGUGGGCUGUAUGUAAAUGGAUUGUUUUGACAAUCCAUUCGACAGUGUUCUCUUCUGUGAAGGUCAUAGGUGAGCUGAUUGACAGACACAGCUGUACAGACUGAAUGCAAUCCUGACUAUAAAGCUGCAGUUCAUCAUUAUGAGCUAUUUCCUUAUUCUGGCAGUGAUUGAAAUAAAAUGGGGAGUAUUGAAAUAAAAAACAUUCAAUUGCAAA
rnacentral:lncRNA from 1 species